UAGCCUACGGGGCGUAGCAGUGGGGAAUAUUGCACAAUGGGGGAAACCCUGAUGCAGCGGCGCCGCGUGAAGGAUGAAGUAUUUCGGUAUGUAAAGCCCUAUCAGCAGGGAAGAAGAAAUGACGGUACCUGAGUAAGAAGCACCGGCUAAAUACGUGCCAGCAGCCGCGGUAAUACGUAUGGUGCAAGCGUUAUCCGGAUUUACUGGGUGUAAAGGGAGCGCAGGCGGCACGGCAAGCCUGAUGUGAAAGCCCGCGGCCCAACCGCGGGACUGCAUUGGGAACUACCGGGCUGGAGUGCCGGAGG
rnacentral:rRNA from 1 species